rnacentral:lncRNA from 1 species
CGCACAGAAGGAAAUGUUUUCGACCCCAUAAAGAAUAUAUAACUGUUGUUAGUAGUAUUGAUCUGCAUCAAUAUCCGAGUCGAUACAGCCAUGUCUGUCUAUCCGUCUGGCAGUCUGGCUCAGGGACUAUAUGAGCCACCGAUAGAAAUAUGAUCUGGAGGAUUUUCGUUCUGUGAAAAAGUCUGUGGGUGUUUUGAACCAAAUAACCAUAAACACUUACUCAAAAGAAU